UGGAUGAUCGCGAAAGUGCCAUGA
rnacentral:miRNA from 1 species